UACGUAGGGGGCGAGCGUUGUCCGGAUUUAUUGGGCGUAAAGCGCACGCAGGCGGUCUUUUUACGUUUUGAGUGACAGGUGGUGGCUCAACCACCACAGGCCUUGAAAUACGGGAAGACUUGAGGACGAGAGAGGGAUGCGGAAUUCCAGGUGGAGCGGUGAAAUGCGUAGAGAUCUGGAAGAACACCAAAGGCGAAGGCAGCAUCCUGGCUCGUAUCUGACGCUGAUGUGCGAAAGCUAGGGGAGCGAACGGG
rnacentral:rRNA from 1 species